GGGUCUUGGGAUAUUUGGGGUUAAGUGUCCUUGGGUUUGAAUAGUACUGUGCUGGGUGACCUCUGGGGAAGUCCAAAUUCAGGAGCUU
rnacentral:rRNA from 1 species